GCCUGGCUGGUUCAAUCUGUGGAACAUGCGACUCUCAAUCUUGGGGUUGUGAGUUCAAGCCCCAUGCUGGGUG
rnacentral:tRNA from 1 species